rnacentral:rRNA from 1 species
AUUGAACGCUGGCGGCAUGCUUUACACAUGCAAGUCGAACGGUAACAGGGUGCUUGCACCGCUGACGAGUGGCGAACGGGUGAGUAAUGCGUCGGAACGUGCCGAGUAGUGGGGGAUAACGCAGCGAAAGUUGUGCUAAUACCGCAUACGUACUGAGGUAGAAAGUGGGGGACCUUCGGGCCUCACGCUAUUCGAGCGGCCGACGUCUGAUUAGCUAGUAGGUGAGGUAAAGGCUCACCUAGGCGACGAUCAGUAGCGGGUCUGAGAGGAUGAUCCGCCACCCUGGGACUGAGACACGGCCCAGACUCCUACGGGAGGCAGCAGUGGGGAAUUUUGGACAAUGGGCGAAAGCCUGAUCCAGCCAUGCCGCGUGUCUGAAGAAGGCCUUCGGGUUGUAAAGGACUUUUGUCAGGGAGGAAAUCCCUAGUGCUAAUAACACUGGGGGAUGACAGUACCUGAAGAAUAAGCACCGGCUAACUACGUGCCAGCCGCCGCGGUAA